UCAAGGCACAUUCAUCUCCGAGCAGGGCGCAGCAUCACAAUUUGGGUUCCCUAUCCAAGUAUACCACAUCAUCGGCAGUGGUUUCACAGGCUUGCUGUAGGAGCGUUUUCCGCGUUCAACAGAAAUUGCCAUGUCCAGAAUGUUCAGCUGGGUCCAUCAUCAGCUAAGCUGCAGAAUGUUCAAAACGGCGAUCAGCCGAUCAGGAUUGAAUGCAUGAAUUCAUGAACCUAGCUAUAGUUUCUGUUCGGAGUACGGAGGAAACUACCAUGAACCUGCACUGCGGCGAGCGAGACGUUGCUCGCAUCAGUUGUAGUGCC
rnacentral:lncRNA from 1 species